rnacentral:rRNA from 1 species
UACGUAGGGUGCGAGCGUUACUCGGAAUUACUGGGCGUAAAGGGUGCGCAGGCGGUUGAUUAAGUCAGAUGUGAAAUACCUGGGCUUAACCUGGGAAUGGCAUUUGAGACUGGUCGGCUAGAGUGUGUCAGAGGGGGGUAGAAUUCCACGUGUAGCAGUGAAAUGCGUAGAGAUGUGGAGGAAUACCGAUGGCGAAGGCAGCCCCCUGGGAUAACACUGACGCUCAGGCACGAAAGCGUGGGGAGCAAACAGG